rnacentral:rRNA from 1 species
UGGGGAAUAUUGCACAAUGGAGGGAACUCUGAUGCAGCGACGCCGCGUGAACGAAGAAGGCUUUCGAGUCGUAAAGUUCUUUUAUUUGGGAAGAUAAUGACGGUACCAUAAGAAAAAGCCCCGGCUAACUACGUGCCAGCAGCCGCGGUAAUACGUAGGGGGCUAGCGUUGUCCGGAAUCACUGGGCGUAAAGGGUUCGCAGGCGGAAAUGCAAGUCAGGUGUAAAAGGCAGUAGCUUAACUACUGUAAGCAUUUGAAACUGCAUAUCUUGAGAAGAGUAGAGGUAAGUGGAAUUUUUAGUGUAGCGGUGAAAUGAGUAGAUAUUAAAAAGAAUACCGGUGGCGAAGGCGACUUACUGGGCUCAUUCUGACGCUGAGGAACGAAAGCGUGGGUAGCAAACAGG